GACGAACGCUGGCGGCGUGCUUAACACAUGCAAGUCGAACGGAAAGGCCCUGCUUUUGUGGGGUGCUCGAGUGGCGAACGGGUGAGUAACACGUGAGUAACCUGCCCUUGACUGUGUGAUAACUUCAGGAAACUGGGGCUAAUACCGGAUAUGAUCUCCUGCAGCAUGGUGUGGGUUGGAAAGUUUCGGCUGUUGGGGAUGGUCUCGCUGCUUAUCAGCUUGUUGGUGGGGUAGGUGCUUACCAAGGCUUCGACGGGUAGCCGGCCUGAGAGGGUGAACGGCCACAAUGGGACUGAGAUACGGCCCAGACUCCUACGGGAGGCAGCAGUGGGGAAUAUUGCACAAUGGGCGGAAGCCUGAUGCAGCAGCGCCGCGUGCGGGAUGCCGGCCUUCGGGUUGUAAACCGCUUUGGCCUGUGACGAAGCGUGAGUGACGGUAAUGGGUAAAGAAGCACCGGCUAACUACGUG
rnacentral:rRNA from 1 species